CCUCAACAAUGAUCAAAUAAUAUGGAAGUCUUUUAGCCUUGAUAUAAGAUAUUAUUGAUGGCUGAAAAGAUAUAUCAACCAACUUUAAAGAAAACAAAGAUUAGAAUAUAUGGCAGACAUAAUUUUUUCCAUCUUAAAUUUUUUUAACAUAUGAUGACUACUAUCAUAUUACGUGAAGACUUAUUUAAGAAUGCACCAGAGACCUUGCUAUGGAAGGUUAAAUAAAAAUUAUAAUAAUAAAAUCCUAAUCUUAAUAAAAUACUAAAUAAAUUAUAAUUAAACUUUAAUAAUAUUAAAUAAGCUUUAAUCAAAUUCAAAAGAAAUCUUAAAAAAAUUACAAAAGAAAUAAUAAAAAAUCUUAAAGAAAUUAAAAAAAAAUCUGCAAUAAACCUUAAAAAAAUAUCUAAGAAAUCCUAAAAAAAAUUAGAAUAAUCACAAAUAUAUCUUAAAUAAAUCUCAACCAAAUCUUAAUUUAAUUCUAGUUGAAAUCCUAAUAGAAUUCAAUCAAAUCUUAAAUCCUAAGCAAAUCUUAAAUCUUAAAUCCUAAGAAAAUCCUAAACCGAAUUCUAAACAAAUCCUAAAUCCUAAAUCCUAAGAAAAUCCUUAUCUAAAUCCUAAAUCCUAAUCCAAUCUUAAAUUUUAACCAAACCUUAAUCAAAUCAUAUUUUCUAAUCCAAUCCUAAUCU
rnacentral:lncRNA from 1 species